UCCCCCACCGAUGAUCCAAAGAGAUGCCCUCCCCCCUCAAGAAGGUCAGCCGAGAGAUCCAGACUGAGGACUCAUAGGCAGCAGGUCACAAAGGGGAGAAUGGACAGGUAACUGUCCUAGAGCAGCAGCUUAACCUCACUUUCAAAGACCACGAAGGAACUGAAGAAACCAAGAACCUUGAGUAUCAAAUGAAGGAAUCUUUGUUACCUCCAGGAUGGAUUAUUGCAAUGCACUCUACGUGGGACUGCCCUUGAAGACGGCCCGGAAACUACAACUAGUCCAACAAUCAGCAGCCAGUUUGCUAACCGGAGCAACUUACAGGGAGCGAUCAACUCCCCUGUUUACGGAGCUCCCUUGGCUGCUGGUCACUUUCCAGUCCCAAUUCUAGGUUCAGGUAAUCACCUACAAAGCCCUGUAUGGUUCGGGGCCCAUCUACCUUCGUGACUGCCUUUCCCCUAUGAGCCUGCACGAUCUCUUAGAUCUUCAUGGGAGGCCCUCCUCUUGUUCCCAUCACUAUCGCAGGCUAGGGAACUCUGUCUGUAUCAAACAGCUGAAGACAUGGCUCUGCCAGCGUGCGUUUGAAUAACCACCAACUUGAUAGACCCCUAUCACUGAUACAUUACUUCCAAGCACUUUAUUUCCUUCCUAUUUAUCCUACCCCACAUUAUCCCAGCCAACUCUCUGACACUUGUCCAUGCACUUUAUCAAAAGCCCUUGAAAUUGUGUAUUUUCUUAUGCUAGACCCCAUUUUAUCCAUAGUGGUUGAUGUUUGUAUCAUUACCUCAUUUUGCUUGGUCAUUUGAUGUUUUAUUGUAUGUUAUGUUUUAACCGAUUAUUUUGCUUGAUUGUUGUAGGCUCUUCUACAAAGGGAGUCUUUCUGGACCUUUAAAUUAAACUCUGUAUUCCCCAAAGGACUGAAUGAUAGGAUUGAUUUCACCUGUUAUCUUUAGUGAAUUGAGUAUUUCAGUUCACCAUGCAAGCCAUAGGGCACUUGCAACUUGAGAAAAAACACAGAGCCCUGCAAGAGUAACGACGUAAAUUGACUACAUUGAAAAGCCUUGAACUGAAGCAGGACCAAGCAAGUAAUUAAGAUUAAAGAGACAGCAAUAAAUCCACAACAUACCGCAGAAGAUUCUGAGAAUCUCAGUAAGAAGAAAAAUACCAUACAUCAAAAGACUAUUUAAGACCUUACAUAAAUAACAACAACCUGAAGAAGGACUUCCCGAAACGAGGCAGUGUACUCGGGAUUACUUGUUGUUGCAUAGUUUUAUUCUACAUACACACAACAGCUGUGGACUGUUUUCCGUUGAGUUUGAUGUAUGCUUUACUUUAUAUGUUACUCAAUAAGGUUGUAUAAUUGUAUAUAUACCAUAA